rnacentral:ncRNA from 1 species
AACUUAGAGUGAAAAAACACAGUUCGGUUGGUAGUCCGGACACAGUAGUCCGAAAAACUAUUGUCAGUAACCUUCCCCCCUGGGAUGUCCAUCACUCAUGUUAUAUAA